AACGAACGCUGGCGGCAGGCUUAACACAUGCAAGUCGAGCGCCCCGCAAGGGGAGCGGCAGACGGGUGAGUAACGCGUGGGAAUCUACCCAUCUCUACGGAAUAACGCAUGGAAACGUGUGCUAAUACCGUAUACGUCCCUCGGGAGAAAGAUUUAUCGGAGAUGGAUGAGCCCGCGUUGGAUUAGCUAGUUGGUGGGGUAAAGGCCUACCAAGGCGACGAUCCAUAGCUGGUCUGAGAGGAUGAUCAGCCACACUGGGACUGAGACACGGCCCAGACUCCUACGGGAGGCAGCAGUGGGGAGUAUUGGACAAUGGGCGCAAGCCUGAUCCAGCCAUGCCGCGUGAGUGAUGAAGGCCCUAGGGUUGUAAAGCUCUUUCACCGGUGAAGAUAAUGACGGUAACCGGAGAAGAAGCCCCGGUUAACUUCGUGCCAGCCGCCGCGGUAAUAC
rnacentral:rRNA from 1 species